CGAACGCUGGUAGCGUGGAUUAGGCAUGCAAGUCGAACGGGAUCGCCCGGUUAGCAAUAAUUGGGCGUGAGAGUGGCGGAUUGGGGAGGAACACGUGAGCAACCUGUCCUUGAGUGGUGGAAAAACCUCGGGGAAACUGAGGCUAAUACAGCAUGUGGCGCCCGGAGACAGUCUCCGGAGCGUCAAAGGGGGGCCGCAAGGCUCUCGCUCAUCGAGGGGCUCGCGCACCAUCAGCUUGUUGGCGGGGUAACGGCCCACCAAGGCCUACGGUUAGCUGGUCUGAGAGGAUGACCAGCCCCACUGGGACUGAGAUACUGCCCAGACUCCUACGGGAGGCUGCAGUCGAGGAUCAUUUGCAAUGGGCGAAAGCCUGACAAUGCGACGCUGCGUGGAGGAUGAAGGUCUUCGGAUUGUAAACUCCUGUCAUGAGGGAACAGGCGAGGGUACCCAACACGUACCUUAGUUGAGUGUACUUCAAGAGGAAGGGACGGCUAACUCUGUGCCAGCCGCGGC
rnacentral:rRNA from 1 species